rnacentral:lncRNA from 1 species
AACAGCCCUUGCUCUCCUCUUAGACACAAUGCUCCACAGUCAUGGGUUGAUACUGUCCUCCAAAUGCAGUCCAAAGACCAAGCCAGACUUGAUUUGUUUGCCAGUCUUGUGGCUGGGAGAUCUUUUGUUCCUAUUGCUUCGGGAAGACAAGUUAUACAGACCCCAACUUAUAUUGUGAGGGCCAAGAUUGGAACCCCACCUCAAACCUUGUUGGUUGCUGUGGAUAAUAGCAAUGAUGUUGCUUGGUUCCCUUGUAGUGGUUGUGUUGGUUGUUCCUCUACUGUUUUUGCCUCAGAUAAGUCCACCACUUUCAAAAAUGUUAGCUGUGGAGCUGCACAAUGCAGCCAGGUAUCCAUUUUACCCUUUAAUACCUAUAUUUUACUCUCUCCGUUUUAUUUUAUAAUGUAAUUUUUGACCGGACAUAAAGUUUAAAAAGUAGAAAAAGAAGUUUGACAUGUAUUAAAGUGUCCUUAUAACUUGUAAUUUUAACCAUAUAUAUAUAUAUAUAUAUAUAUAUAUAUAUAUAUAUAUUGUGGAGAGAGUCCUUAACUUUUCCAAUUGACAUAAAGGAAGUGUACAAGCUCACUCCCUGUUCAGGAAACUGGCACGUGAUCUGGUUCCCACGAACCUGAGUUAAGCUGCCGGUUGAUAAAUCAAUUUUAAGUAAAAUAGAUGGAAAGGGAAAAUAAUUGAAUUAUUGCACUGUUCGUCUGAAAAUUUUUAAAAGCUGAAGCCCUUCAUGUUCUUCCUUUUGCUCAGAGAGAUGUGUUUUUACUUUAAAAUAACUCAAUGAUUUUACAGAAAGUUUUUCUUUUUCUGGUUUUCUAUUCGGUAUCCGUAUUGAAGCCCGACUAUAUCCGGAUUCGUACCGCAUAUAGUCCCAUUCUUGGAAAAAUAUUCUAUACUAAUGAUUUUUUCAUACUUAAAACUUAAACUCUAAAUCUUUAAUUAAGGGAAGAAUAGUCUCAUCUAUUCCACCUUAUCCUUAGCCGUGAUUUUAUAGAAAGUUAGGAAGACGGAACUAACCUCGACAAUGAAAAAUCUGCCACAAAUAUUUGGUUUUGCAGUGAAGACUUUUACCUAACUUUUCAGGUGAAGAGUUAAUCAUCAGAUUCUUCUCUUUUUCUUUUUUUAGUUUACAGAAAAAUCUUAUUAAUCCAAAGAAAAAAUUAACAUAGUAUGUAAUAAAAUUUGUCCAUGGAUUUUAAAUUUCUGUCUUAAAGUUCGUACUAGGCCUAGACACAUUAAGUCCUUGAGAAGGAUUAAUAUGCAUUAUAGGCAACUAUUGUACAAAUUACAAUUACUAACACCUCCUUUUGUAGCUCAAAAAUUCAAUGCAAUUACCUCUAAUUUAGAAAAUUAUAUAUGACAUCUCAAUCAGUUUAAUGUUUUGUUAUAUUGGUGUUACCUACCUUUCAUCCCUUUAACUAGAAUUGUUAAAAUCAACGAUAAUACUAAACAAUCGAUUUUCCAUGAUCCUGCUUUUAAAAAAAGAUGUUAGUGUAUGUAUCUAAAUUCUAAAAACCAUAGAGAUGAAAGAGGAAAUUUUUGGUAUGUUUUAUGAGCUGUAAUUUAAUAUCGCAAGUUUCAAAUUAUUUAUAUUUUAUAUUUCAUGUUCAAUUAAACCGAGACACAUAAAAUAAAAAAUAGAGAAUAAACUUGGUAAGGUUUUUCUAGCAAAAUCUAGGGCUUAAUAUAAGUUAUUAAUAUCCCUUUGGUACAUAGAGUAUGGUAUCAGAUCAAGAUGGUGCUCCACUUUAAUAAUUCUUUUAUUGGUUUCUAGUGUCCCUACUCUAAUUUGUGUAUUAGUAUUCCGAAUCUCACAUUAAUGCUGCAUGAGAAAGUACUGACAAAUCAUUCCCUCAUGUGCUCAUGUUCACUAAAUUACACACUAAUAUUAUUCUCCAACGGUACGUUGAUCUUAAACUACAAAUAUAUUCCUAUUUUUGUCUUUUCUUUUUGUUUGGGCUAAAUCCAAAUUAGGUUUGAUAAUGUCGACAUUUUUAAUGCAACGUUAAAUAUGUAUCUUUUAAAAUUCUUCAUGUAAGCUAUUACGUCCUUGAUUUAUAGAGAUAUAUUAUAAUAGAGCAAUAUGACUAUUUGACUCAAAAGAUAUCGAAAUCUUUUUGGACAAAUUAAUUAUAAUUGAAGGGGUCAAUCUUAGUUAGAGGUAAUAAAUUUAAGAACAAAGAGGUAACAUGAUGGAUCACAUGUAGGAUAAAAGAAAUGUAAAUGAUUUUAUUGAGAUUCAAUAUUGUGUUUCCCUUCAAUAGAUGAGGAGACAACUUUACGUAUUUUCCUGAAGAUUACUUCUUCUCUAUCAAGAAUCCUAGAAGAGAACUUUCAUUUUUUUUAGAGAGAUAGGAGGAGCAGCUAAGGGUGGGCAUUCGAUCGAUUCGGUUCGGUUUGAAGAAAUUGGGUUCGGUUAUUUAAUUUUCGGUUUUGUAAAAGUAGUAAUCAAAACGAACUGAAAUAAGUUCGGUUCAGUUCAAUUAUUUCGGUUCGAUUUUUCAUUUGAACAUUAUCAUAAUGGACACCUUCUAUGUAAUAAUAUGACCGACGAAUUUGUUGAUUUUUCCCAAAACUUCAAAAUUAUUGGAAAUAUUGUGUUUAUAGAAAGAAACAAAAAUAGACUAAACUUUGCACACUAUUAUGGAUCAUAAAAUUCAAACAUAGUGUAAGUUAUAACUCUGUGUGAAAUUCCCCCGGUAUCUAUCGCAUAUGCUAUGAAAAUUUUAACAAACUAAAAGUCUAUAAGAUUGGAAAGUUGAUAGACUUACUUAAUUGAGUUGAGUCUUUGAUAGAUUGGACCUAAUAAUAUUAAUUUAUUACCUAUGGGCUUAGCCUAUAUAUAAAUUAAAGAAUAUAUAUAUGUGUGUGUGUGUGCGCGCGCCCAACAAUUCGAUUUUUCGGUUAACCGAACUAAAAAACUUAAUAACCGAAAAUCGAACCGAAAAACCAAAAUUUUAAAUCGAAAACGACCGAACAAACUGAAUAACCGAAACCGAAAUAAAAAAAAUUCGAUUCGGUCGAUUUAUUCGGUUCCGACUGAAAUAUGCCCACCCCUAAGAGCAAUCCCGUUAUUGAAAGCUUUCCCUUGCUAUAUAUAAUUGUGGUACCUCUGCCCUCUGUUUGGCCCGAUGUCCUUUUGCCUCCAAUGUGUCUUAGUCGUGUUUUUAGGCCCCGCUCUUGCCGACUCGUUGGAUGUCAGGGAAGGAAUAUGGAGCGGGCUAUAUUAUUCUUCGUUGCCCGGUUACUUAAGCGAAAUGUUGGUCAGCUUGAUCGCAACAGUAAGAUUUUGACCAAUUCAAUGACAAAAAGACUUUAAAAAUGUUGGUUCUUCCACUGAAAUUAAGAUAUUGGCAGAUAUAUUUAAGACAAUUUGAGACAAAAAGCCCUAGCGAAAAUCAAACCUGAUUUGACUGAUCUAAGUGAUGUUAAUUUAUGGCACUUAACAAGAAAUUAGCUAAAUGUUUGGGGGAAUUCGACAAAAUAGAUAGAAUGUGUAUCAAAGAUUGUUUAUAGAUUGGCAGAUUGUUUUAAACUGACAGUUCACUAAGCUUAAUGCUUAAUGAAUGUCGAUAUUUACAUAUUCCAUUGGUCGUAAAAAAAAACAAGAAAAGGUUGGCAAUAAAAAUUGCCAAAAAUUGAAUAAGAAAUAAUAUCAUGUUAUCUAUGUGAAGAACAGAGAUGAUAUCAUACACUAGGUAAAUGGAAUACAGUCUGUAUCAAACUACAGUCCAUAGACACUACACAACACUUCACACCUUCUCGAGUAUUCUCCCACCCAUGUUCAAAUAAAGAUAAGUGAAAAUUUCAUGGUAUAUAUAAUAUCCCGUUUAAUUAAUUUUAUUUCCAAAUGUAUUCUCCAUAUUUUAUUCUGAUAGUUCAGUUGCCAUUUUUGUAAUAUCCCAAAUUUUAGACAUAAUCCUAUAUCGGCAAAACAUAAAAGAAAUGCUAGGUAUAUAAGUUAACAUGUCUUAGACUUUAGUAACACACCUUAAUCUCGUGAAUGUCUAAGCGCAGAGAAAAUAAUAUCACCAACGAGUUGUGCUGUGACAAUAUUUUCCAAAAAAAAUGAAAAAGUAAAAGAGCAAUUGACCUUUUGAUCCCUCAAUUAUGUAAAUUAUUUUUGAUACAUUUGAUAUUCCACUUAGCAUAUUUAAUCUUACUGAUUAGUCGAAUUAAUCAAAAUAUUUUUUUUGUCCCUAACACACACACAUAUAGACGCACACAUAUAUACACACACUAUACUAGCCUCAAUUAUGAAAAACUAGAUAUAACACGAGUAAUUAGAUGGGUUUACAGUUAAUAAUUUAUUAAGAUCGUAUAAGUUCACAAUCAAAAAGAUUAAAAGUAAAGUGCCUUAUUUAAUUAAUUAUAAAUUAAAUGUGCUUAACUAUAAAUCAAGGACAAAACCCAGAAAUUAUAAAAAUAUCAACUAAAAGUUUAAAUUGUAAAAGAAAAUAAUCAAAAGAAGUACACAUCCUCAACUAUAUAUACAUGUAAGCACACCCUCUUAAACCACACCAAAAGCCAAAAUACUUUCACAAGCCAAUCAAUGGAGGGCUCUAUCAUUUUCUCACUACCCCUUCUCUUAUUUUUCACUCUAGCCCAAGGGCUAACCAACCCCAAAUGUAGCAGCAGCUUUCACCAAGCAGACAAAGGCUCAACACUACAAGUCCUACAUGUGAACAGCCCUUGCUCUCCUCUUAGACACAAUGCUCCACAGUCAUGGGUUGAUACUGUCCUCCAAAUGCAGUCCAAAGACCAAGCCAGACUUGAUUUGUUUGCCAGUCUUGUGGCUGGGAGAUCUUUUGUUCCUAUUGCUUCGGGAAGACAAGUUAUACAGACCCCAACUUAUAUUGUGAGGGCCAAGAUUGGAACCCCACCUCAAACCUUGUUGGUUGCUGUGGAUAAUAGCAAUGAUGUUGCUUGGUUCCCUUGUAGUGGUUGUGUUGGUUGUUCCUCUACUGUUUUUGC